UCUCUCUGAAUCUGCGAACGGCUCCGCACACCAGUUGUAAACCAAAGCAAGCAAGCUCGGUCUCGAGUCUUUCGGGGCUAGGGGCCGGGCUACAAGGAUAACCCUGGUAAUUCUGAGGCUAAUACGAGAACGUAACCCCUGGCUAACCGGGCAACUGGAAGGCUGGGAAACGUGUACUAGAUCGCGAGGAUGACCGGGAAAGGAUGCACGUUUGGACCGCGCUCAACAAGGAUCAGGUUGCCGACCUCACGGAAGGUGGCCUGGCCCUAGCGGCUCUUGCAAUGUGCUUCUGACCUAUCAACUAGAUGGCAGCGUAACGGACAUGCUAUGGUGACAACGGGUACAGAGGAUUAGGGUUCGAUCCUGGAGAGUGGGCCUGAGAGAUU
rnacentral:rRNA from 1 species